rnacentral:rRNA from 1 species
GAUGAACGCUGGCGGCGUGCUUAACACAUGCAAGUCGAACGGUAAAGCCCUGCUUGCUGGGUGUUUUAGUGGGGAACGGGUGAGUGACACGUGAGUAAACCGCACUCUACUCUUUGGUAAGCCUUGACGAAUGGGUCUAUAAUCUGAUAGGGGAGCCUACCGCAUGGUGGGUGUUGGGGAGAUUUAGCGGUUUUGGGUGGACACGCGGCGUUUCCGCUUGUUGGUGUGGGAUUGGCUCACCAAGGCGACGACGGGUAUCCGGCCUGAGAGGGUGACCGGCCACAAUGGGACUGAGACACGGCCCAGACUCCUACGGGAGGCAGCAGUGGGGAAUAUUGCACAAUGGGCGCAAGCCUGAUGCAGCGACGCCGCGUGUGGGAUGACGGCCUUCGGGUUGUAAACCGCUUUCGGUUGGGACGAAGCGAAAGUGACGGUACCUGCAGAAGAAGCACCGGCUAACUACGUG